ACGCGACUGCGGUGCGAAGGCCGCGGGAAGGCGGGGGGGGCAAGCGUGAGUAGGAGUUAAUGUGGCGAAAGCGCACGCGGGCGAUCGUUCAAGGAGGAGGGGAAAUCGCCGUGAUCAACCCGGGAGUUGCAGUCGAAACUUGUGGGCUUGAGUGCGGAAGAGGGUGGUGGAAUUCCGGGUGUAGAGGUGAAAUUCGUUGAUAUCAGGAGGAACACCGGCGGCGAAGGCGACCACCUGGUCCGAUACUGACGCUCAUGUGCGAAAGCGUGGGUAGCAAACAGGAUUAGAUACCCCGGUAGUC
rnacentral:rRNA from 1 species